AAGAAUGGAAGAAAAUCCCCAAAACCAGAUGUGCAAAGCUGAUAGACACCAUUGAUGACCCAAAGCUGUAAUCGCUACUAAAGGUGCGUCUUCAAAGUAUUGACUCUGGUGUGAAUAAUUUUCUACAUAUUUGGAAAAAUGUCUAAACAUGUUCUAACUUUGUCAUUAUGAGUUAUUGUGUGUAGAAGGGUAAACAUUUUUUUUAAUCCAUUUUGAAUUCCGGCUGUAACAUAAUAUGUGGAGUAAGACUUUAUGAAGGCACUGUAUUCAAGAUUCAUAUGUCAGUGGCCAUUGAAUGAACAGCAGGAAAUCUUAUAGACUUCUUUUCGUUUCAUUGAGCAGCGCCAUCUUUACCAUAUUCUUCUCUUUCAGCAAUUUGAGUCAUUGCGAGUUUGAGGAUAUAAUCCUGCAUUUGAACGACAGGAUUUCAUCCAUCAGACAGGUCUUGUAGCUGCGGACAAUUGGUAUGAUGAUCUGGUACAUACGGGGCAUGUCUCUUGUCGAAGGGAUAGCUGAAACACUAACUACAUAAUAUAAAAGUUAACUGAGAAGAGAGCUCACCUCAUCAAACAAACUCAGUGGUUUUCUGACAGCAUCAGGUCAUUCAUCACCUUCUUGAAACAUAACUUAAAAUUUGAGGCUUAUUUUCAGCAAAUUAUCAUGACAAGCGGAUCAUUCUAGGGAAGAUGGGACAAAUGUCCUUUCAAUAGAUGGACUCCUUGAUCAGUUUGAAUAAUGUGUUGGCUGCCAAAAAGACCUACUGAAGGUAUUGCGUACAUGCUUCACAUGCUAUUUUUACAGGUCCUUUUUAGCUUGUCUGGAUUGCUUUAUCUUAAAGUAUGCUGUUUGUCCUUUAUGUCAGUGUGAAAUCUGAGUUGUAAUUGUAACCCUGGACUGAUGGGGAUUGACUUAUUUUUGUCACAGGAACUAGAGGAGUGCUUCCUGAAGGAGGUACAGGAUGGAACGCAGCUUAGGGUCAACAUGCCAAGGAACGUUGUACGAUGUUGAAACAGGAGAAGCUACAGAGUACCAACCAAAUGCAUUGUAAAUGUUUUGUCCUAUUUAAAAUAAUAAUAAAAUCUCCUUUGAUACCCCAGUGGAAGAGGGCCUGUGAGACCGAGUGGACCUGUGCAUGUGCAGCCAACCCAGCAGGAGCACCUCAGGAAAACCUCCAAGACCCAGAUCAAAGAGAUUGAAUUCAUCAACUACCCAGAGUUUAAGACCAUCCCUCAGCUGUGUGACAUAUGACCAGCUGAAUGCUUCUGUGGCAAGCGUUAACACAGCCGUAACAGGGAAGUAAAAAGUCUUGCACCUGCCAGUAAAAACCCUGAAUAAUGCCACACACAAGCUUCAUCAGCGAUUUAAGGAGGAUGACACAAAAGGUCUAUUUUUCAUUGAGGAGGUGGACAUUAAAGAGUUCACUUGGAUGACAGUUGACAAGCGCUUCCAGGGCAUCCUCAACAUGCUACGUCACGGCCAGCGUCUGCGAGAGCAGCGCGGGGGUUUCACAUGCUACGUCCUGCAGUGAAAAGAGCUGAAAUGGAGUUUGUCAUUGAGCUUGCCUUGAAGAUGUUGAUUUGUCCUCUGUCCUCAACAUACAGUCAGGUCCAUCAUUAUUGGCACCCUUGAUAAAGGGUGUUGUAUGUGUCGAACUGCUAUGCUUUAUCUUGACCUGGUCGCAGUUGUAAAUGAGAACUUGUUCUCAACUAGCCUACCUGGUUAAAUAAAGGUGAACAUAAAAAAAAAAGAUGUGCAAAAAAGACGUACUGGGCUAUAAUUUCUCAAAGAAAGACAUUUUGUUUAAAGGGGAAUUGUAGUUAAUGUGAUUUUCCUGUUUUUUUUUUAUAUUUCAACACCAAGUGGAAAUAAGACCUGGUUGCCUCGGUCAGGUGGCUGACACUUGGCCGCAAGUGGUUCUUCCAGUAAAACCAUAACCCCAAGCGUUAAUCAAUAUCCACAAGGAAAUUGUUAAUUGACCACAAAAUCAUUAUUUUGCAAUGGCCAUCUCAAUGUUCAGACUUGA